UUUGGAAUAUUGGCAAAAUAUAUUAUUUUCCUAAAUAUUUGUAAAUAACGGGGUUGACAGUGUUUAAACAGGG